rnacentral:rRNA from 1 species
UACAGAGGUCCCAAGCGUUGUUCGGAUUCAUUGGGCGUAAAGGGUGCGUAGGUGGCAUGGUAAGUCGGGUGUGAAAUCCCGGGCUCAACCCCGGAACUGCACUCGAUACUGCCGUGCUCGAGUACUGGAGAGGAGACGUGGAAUUACGGUGUAGCAGUGAAAUGCGUAGAUAUCGUAAGGAAGACCGGUGGCGAAGGCGGGUCUCUGGACAGUUCCUGACGCUGAGGCACGAAGGUCAGGGAGCAAACGGG